AGUUUAUUGGGCCUGAGGUCAGAGAAGAUCUUGUUGGGUUUUGGUUUGUUUCACCAUCAAUGACUAGUUUUACUGGGGUAUGAUCAGAGGAAAGAUGUUAUAAAUAGCAAGGGGUAAGUUACUUGGGGUGGAAUAUAUGAAGAAGUCUAAUAACUGGAUGCCUAUUGGUGUGGGUGGGCCAAUAUGUCGGUCCAGUAGGUGCGAGGGGUGACCAUUUAUGAUUGGUAAUUGUUUUGUGUAGGAUUUUACCUCUUGGAGAGGUGGAGCGGCAGCCCCAUACUGGGUGUUUGGAAUUAAAGUCACCACCUGCAAUGAAAUUAUUCCCUAGUGAGAUAAAAAGUUGAGCAAAAUCUUGAGUGGUGAUUUUUUGGCUGGGAGAACAGUAGACUGAAGCAAGGGUUAGUGGAACAUGGUUUAGGAAAAUUUGGAUAGAAACUGACUGGAGGUUGGUUUGUGGAUUGAUUGAGUGUAGGUUAUGAAUUAAUUUAGUAGCAAUAAUUAUGGCAGAGCCUGCAUGAGCCGUACCGUCCGGGUGGUCUGCACGGUAUAUUGAGUAACCAGGUAGUUUUAAUUUUAUUGUUUUAGUUAGGUGAGUUUCAGUGAUACAAUUUUUAAAUGAUCAAGAUAUACCAAGGCCUUCACGCUCCAAUUUGGACACUGACAAUGAUGAGAUUAAUCUGGAAAAAUUAUCAGAAACAGCAAUAGAAUCAAAUGAGGACCCUUCUUCUGAAGAUCUACCUACAUCUACUCACACAAGU
rnacentral:misc_RNA from 1 species